UACGGAGGAUCCGAGCGUUAUCCGGAUUUAUUGGGUUUAAAGGGUGCGUAGGCGGCCUGUUAAGUCAGGGGUGAAAGACGGUAGCUCAACUAUCGCAGUGCCUUUGAUACUGACGGGCUUGAAUGUACUUGAGGUAGGCGGAAUGUGACAAGUAGCGGUGAAAUGCAUAGAUAUGUCACAGAACACCAAUUGCGAAGGCAGCUUACUAAGGUAUGAUUGACGCUGAGGCACGAAAGCGUGGGGAUCAAACAGG
rnacentral:rRNA from 1 species